UACGUAGGGGCCGAGCGUUGUCCGGAAUUACUGGGCGUAAAGCGCGCGCAGGCGGCUGAUCAAGCCUGACGUGAAAGCCCCCGGCUCAACCGGGGAGGGUCGUCGGGGACUGAUUGGCUUGAGGGCGGUAGGGGCCGGUGGAAUUCCCGGUGUAGUGGUGAAAUGCGUAGAGAUCGGGAGGAACACCAGUGGCGAAGGCGGCCAUCUGGACCAGUACUGACGCUGAGGCACGAAAGCGUGGGGAGCAAAC
rnacentral:rRNA from 1 species